GAUGAACGCUGGCGGCGUGCCUAAUACAUGCAAGUCGAGCGAACAGACGAGGAGCUUGCCCCUCUGACGUUAGCGGCGGACGGGUGAGUAACACGUGGAUAACCUACCUAUAAGACUGGGAUAACUUCGGGAAACCGGAGCUAAUACCGGAUAAUAUAUUGAACCGCAUGGUUCAAUAGUGAAAGACGGUUUUGCUGUCACUUAUAGAUGGAUCCGCGCCGCAUUAGCUAGUUGGUAAGGUAACGGCUUACCAAGGCAACGAUGCGUAGCCGACCUGAGAGAGUGAUCGGCCACACUGGAACUGAGACACGGUCCAGACUCCUACGGGAGGCAGCAGUAGGGUAUCUUCCGCAAUAGGCGAAAGCCUGACGGAGCAACGCCGCGUGAGUGAUGAAGGUCUUCGGAUCGUAAAACUCUGUUAUUAGGGAAGAACAAAUGUGUAAGUAACUAUGCACGUCUUGACGGUACCUAAUCAGAAAGCCACGGCUAACUACGUG
rnacentral:rRNA from 1 species